UGUUGCGAGUAGCAAGCGAAAUAAAAAAAUAAAUAUGUACACACAGUGCUGGAGUGACGCCGCUAUUCAAAGAGGAGAUCAAUCCUCAUCUACACAGCGGUUGGUCUACCGUAGCAGCAAUAGCGUAGGCAAAGAAUAGAGGCCAUCGUCCCAUUGAAACUUGUCUUUCAAUUAUGACGCAAGGAGCUGUGUUUUAUUUUUUUUCUUUUUCGAGUUGAAUGCCAGAUGGAGAGAUAGCUGCCAGAUAUACCGGUGCGGGAGGGGGAAGGGAAUUUCAUAUCCUUGGCUUGAAAUCUCAAUACAUAACGGCGUGCUUUUCAAAACGCUAUGUCAAACAACCUGUAAUCAAAUGCGAAACAAUUCGUUUGCAGUUCUUUUUCCCAUGAAAAAAUUCAAUUAAUUUAUUUUUUAUUCAUGAUUUGUUAAAAAUUUGGAUGAAGGCUGUUUACAUUUGUGCAUUCGCUAUUGAACUUUGGUUGAUAACCGAAGCAAAAGAUGAAUUACCUUCUCCGCCUUAUAUUCUUUGUUUGGUCUACUUUAUUAUUUGGAUUAUGUCAGUGGCCUUGCUCGUUGGACUCGCACUGAGAAGAACGCAACCAAUUUUAGCUUGGUUACUAUGUUAUUUGAUUGUGGUGUUCUUUCCGGAAUGCGGACUCGUCAUGUUCAUGAGCCUUUAUUACUG